rnacentral:misc_RNA from 1 species
UCUCCGUAGGUGAACCUGCGGAAGGAUCAUUAAAGAGUAAGGGUCUUCGGGCCCGAUCUCCAACCCUUUGUUUAACUACCAUGUUGCUUUGGCGGGCCCGUCUCACGACCGCCGGAAGUUUGGCUUCGACCAAACUUCUGGCCCGUGCCCGUCAGUGGCCCCUUCAAAUUCUUGAUCAAGUAUGAUGUCUUAGUUAAAAACUUAAUAGUUAAAACUUUCAACAACGGAUCUCUUGGUUCUG